rnacentral:rRNA from 1 species
AAUACCGCAUACGCUCUACGGAGGAAAGGGGGGGAUCUUAGGACCUCUCGCUACAGGGGCGGCCGAUGGCAGAUUAGCUAGUUGGUGGGGUAAAGGCCUACCAAGGCGACGAUCUGUAGCUGGUCUGAGAGGACGACCAGCCACACUGGGACUGAGACACGGCCCAGACUCCUACGGGAGGCAGCAGUGGGGAAUUUUGGACAAUGGGCGAAAGCCUGAUCCAGCAAUGCCGCGUGUGUGAAGAAGGCCUUCGGGUUGUAAAGCACUUUUGUCCGGAAAGAAAACUUCUGUCCUAAUACGGCGGGAGGAUGACGGUACCGGAAGAAUAAGCACCGGCUAACUACGUGCCAGCAGCCGCGGUAAUACGUAGGGUGCAAGCGUUAAUCGGAAUUACUGGGCGUAAAGCGUGCGCAGGCGGUUCGCUAAGACAGAUGUGAAAUCCCCGGGCUUAACCUGGGAACUGCAUUUGUGACUGGCGGGCUAGAGUAUGGCAGAGGGGGGUAGAAUU